GCCCGUAUGGAAAAAUCGAUUUUCCUAUACGGACGCUUCAUUUUUGCAUGCGGCCGUCUUAAGAGGCCCGUAUGGGAAAAUUGAUUUUUCCAUACGGGC
rnacentral:pre_miRNA from 9 species